GGCGCUGAUGGUGUAGGGGUUAAAGCACGCGCCCAUAUACGGAGGCUACAGUCCUCGAAGCAGCCGUCCCGGGUUCGAGUCCCGGACCUGGCGACA